UGGCUUGGGCCUCGUGGUGAUGAAGAACGCAGCAGUGGUUGAGAAGAUU
rnacentral:rRNA from 13 species